GAGGGAUUAGAUUAAUAGGUAAAUCAUAUCAUAUUAAAAUGGUAAGUUAAAGGCUCAUUCCCUUUAUCCCUUA
rnacentral:tRNA from 1 species